rnacentral:tRNA from 1 species
CGGGGCGUAGCGCAGUCCGGUAGCGCACUUGAAUGGGGUUCAAGUGGCCGCCCGUUCAAAUCGGGCCGCCCCGACCA